rnacentral:rRNA from 1 species
GACGAACGCUGGCGGCGUGCCUAAUACAUGCAAGUCGAACGCAUUUUCUUUCACCGUAGCUUGCUACACCGACAGAAAAUGAGUGGCGAACGGGUGAGUAACACGUGGGUAACCUGCCCAUCAGCGGGGGAUAACACUUGGAAACAGGUGCUAAUACCGCAUAAUUCCAUUUACUGCAUGGUAGAUGGAUGAAAGGCGCUUUUGCGUCACUGAUGGAUGGACCCGCGGUGCAUUAGCUAGUUGGUGGGGUAACGGACUACCAAGGCUGCGAUGCAUAGCCGACCUGAGAGGGUGAUCGGCCAAACUGGGACUGAGACACGGCCCAGACUCCUACGGGAGGCAGCAGUAGGGAAUCUUCGGCAAUGGACGCAAGUCUGACCGAGCAACGCCGCGUGAGUGAAGAAGGUUUUCGGAUCGUAAAACUCUGUUGUUAGAAAAGAACAAGGAUGAGAGUGGAAAGUUCAUCCCUUGACGGUAUCUAACCAGAAAGCCACGGCUAACUACGUG